GAGUUUGAUCCUGGCUCAGGACGAACGCUGGCGGCGUGCUUAACACAUGCAAGUCGAACGAAGAGCGAUGGGAGCUUGCUCCUAUCAAUCUUAGUGGCGAACGGGUGAGUAACGCGUAAUCAACCUGCCCUUCAAUGGGGGACAACAGUUGGAAACGACUGCUAAUACCGCAUACGAUCGUAAUUCGGCAUCGAGAUACGAUGAAAGGUGGCCUCUAUUUAUAAGCUAUCGUUGAAGGAGGGGAUUGCGUCUGAUUAGCUAGUUGGAGGGGUAACGGCCCACCAAGGCAAUGAUCAGUAGCCGGUCUGAGGGGAUGAACGGCCACAUUGGGACUGAGACACGGCCCAAACUCCUACGGGAGGCAGCAGUGGGGAAUCUUCCGCAAUGGACGAAAGUCUGACGGAGCAACGCCGCGUGAGUGAUGAAGGUCUUCGGAUUGUAAAGCUCUGUUAAUCGGGACGAAAGAGCCUAGUGUGAAUAAUGCUAGGAAGUGACGGUACCGGAAUAGAAAGCCACGGCUAACUACGUGCCAGCAGCCGCGGUAAUACGUAGGUGGCAAGCGUUGUCCGGAAUUAUUGGGCGUAAAGCGCGCGCAGGCGGAUCUGCCAGUCUGUCUUAAAAGUUCGGGGCUUAACCCCGUGAUGGGAUGGAAACUACAGAUCUAGAGUAUCGGAGAGGAAAGUGGAAUUCCUAGUGUAGCGGUGAAAUGCGUAGAUAUUAGGAAGAACACCAGUGGCGAAAGCGACUUUCUGGACGAAAACUGACGCUGAGGCGCGAAAGCCAGGGGAGCGAACGGGAUUAGAUACCCCGGUAGUCCUGGCCGUAAACGAUGGGUACUAGGUGUAGGAGGUGUCGACCCCUUCUGUGCCGCAGUUAACGCAAUAAGUACCCCGCCUGGGGAGUACGACCGCAAGGUUGAAACUCAAAGGAAUUGACCGG
rnacentral:rRNA from 1 species